GACGAACGCUGGCGGCGUGCUUAACACAUGCAAGUCGAACGGAAAGGCCCUGCUUUUGUGGCGUGCUCGAGUGGCGAACGGGCGAGUAACACGUGCGUAACCUGCCUUUGACUUUGGGAUAAAUUCCGGAAACUGGGGCUAAUACCGGAUAGGAGCUCCUGCUGCAUGGUGGGGGUUGGUUAGUUUCGGUGGGUGGGGAUGGACUCGCGGCUGAUCAGCUUGUUGGUGGGGUAGUGGCUUACCAAGGCGUUGCCGGGUAGCCGGCCUGAGAGGGUGACCGGGCCAAGUGGGACUGAGAUACGGCCGAGAGUAGUACGGGAGGCAGCAGUGGGGAAUAUUGCACGAUGGGCGGAAGCCGGAUGCAGCAACGCCGCGUGCGGGAUGAUGGCCUUCGGGUUGUAAACCGCUUUCGCCUGUGACGAAGCGUGAGUGACGGUAAUGGAUAAAGAAGCACCGGCUAACUACGUG
rnacentral:rRNA from 1 species